GAACUUGCGGUGGAGCGGUGAAAUGCGUUGAGAUCGCAAGGAACACCAAUGGCGUAGGCAGGCUACUGGGUGAACCCUGACGCUGAUGCACGAAAGCUAGGGGAGCGAAGCGGAUUAGAGACCCGCGUAGUCCUAGCCGUAAACGAUGGACACUAGAUGAUCGCCUUUAAGGUGAUUGUCGCAAGCUAACGCGUUAAGUGUCCCGCCUGGGGAGUACGGCCGCAAGGCUAAAACUCAAAGGAAUUGACGGGGACCCGCACAAGCGGUGGAGCAUGUGGUUUAAUUCGACACAAAGCGAAAAACCUUACCAGGACUUGACAUGCUAGUUGCACACUUAUCGAAAGAUAGGUUUCCUUCGAGGGUACUAGCACAGGUGCUGCAUGGCUGUCGUCAGCUUGUACCGUGAGGCGCACCCUUAAGUGGGUUAACAAGCGCAACCCCCAUCCUAUGUUACAUAUCAUAGGAAACCGCCCGCUAAAAGCGAGGAGGAAGGAGGGGAUGACGUCAAGUCAGCACGGCCCUUAUGUUCUGGGCUACACACAUUCUACAAUGGAUGUUUAACAACGAGCAGCAACUCGGUAACGGGAAGCAAAUCUUGAAAAGCAUCCUCAGUUCGGAUUGAGGGCUGAAAUUUGCCCUCAUGAAGUUGAAAUCGCUAGUAAUCGCGGAUCAGCAGGCCGCGGUGAAUACGUUCUCGGGUCUUGUACACACCGCCCGUCAAGCCAACAAAGUCGGAGGUGCCUGAAGUCUCAACAUAAGUUGGGCCCAAGGCAAAAUCGGCGAUGGGGACUAAGUCGUAACAAGGUAACC
rnacentral:rRNA from 1 species